rnacentral:rRNA from 1 species
GACGAAGGGGGCUAGCGUUGUUCGGAAUUACUGGGCGUAAAGCGCGUGUAGGCGGUUGCCCAAGUCUGGUGUGAAAGCCUUGAGCUCAACUCAAGAAAUGCACUCGGUACUGGGUGACUAGAGGACCGGAGAGGAUAGUGGAAUUCCCAGUGUAGUGGUGAAAUACGUAGAGAUUGGGAAGAACACCAGUGGCGAAGGCGGCUAUCUGGACGGUUUCUGACGCUAAGACGCGAAAGCGUGGGGAGCAAACAGG